rnacentral:sRNA from 1 species
CUUGUCAGUCGGCAACCUAAGUACGCCGCGUCCUGCGGCAACGGUUGCAUGACCAACAUCCUGUGGG